UUAACACAUAGAAGUGUUUAAGCAUAGAAACAUUAAAGUACAAAACACUGAAAAUAUGUACAAAUACUAAUUAAUAAGUAUGCCAGAU